AUGGUUUACGGAAGUGUGGAUUCGGUAACGACAGAAGUGAUUGGGUGUUGGACCGGUAGGCAUAGGCGGAGGAACUGUGAUGGUAGUGGGGAGUUGAGGUCUACGGUUGAGGGCAGAACAAGAAGGGAGAAAGAUGGAUUUUACGCUGCUUUGUUUGGGAAUGAUAGCAGUAUGCAGGUUUUACUGAUGCAGGUAACAGGUUUUACCUUGGCCAUGGCUUAUGCGUGUUUGAGUUCUAAAGCAGGUGGGCAGGUUUUGGCUUGCAAGUUAUGCUUAAGCUUUUUGUUUUAUCAGCUUGGAUGGGUUUUGAUAAUAAUCUUGGUCCAGAUCCCUUGCCGGUUAUAUCUUCCUUUUGAAGGGAUUUCAAAUAUAGCCGUUGCUCCUUUCUUUUGGCUCAGGUUUUGA